UUAAGUUAUUAAGGGCGCACGGUGGAUGCCUUGGCACUAGAAGCCGAUGAAGGACGUUACUAACGACGAUAUGCUUUGGGGAGCUGUAAGUAAGCGUUGAUCCAGAGAUUUCCGAAUGGGGAAACCCAGCAUGAGUUAUGUCAUGUUAUCGAUAUGUGAAUACAUAGCAUAUCAGAAGGCAGACCCGGAGAACUGAAACAUCUUAGUACCCGGAGGAAGAGAAAGAAAAAUCGAUUCCCUGAGUAGCGGCGAGCGAAACGGGAAGAGCCCAAACCAACAAGCUUGCUUGUUGGGGUUGUAGGACACUCUAUACGGAGUUACAAAAGUAUAUAUUAGACGAAUCAUCUGGAAAGUUGAAUCAAAGAAGGUAAUAAUCCUGUAGUCGAAAAUAUAUACUCUCUUGAGUGGAUCCUGAGUACGACGGAGCACGUGAAAUUCCGUCGGAAUCUGGGAGGACCAUCUCCUAAGGCUAAAUACUCUCUAGUGACCGAUAGUGAACCAGUACCGUGAGGGAAAGGUGAAAAGUACCCCGGAAGGGGAGUGAAAGAGAACUUGAAACCGUGUGCUUACAAGUAGUCAGAGCCCGUUAAUGGGUGAUGGCGUGCCUUUUGUAGAAUGAACCGGCGAGUUACGAUUUGAUGCAAGGUUAAGCAGCUAAUGUGGAGCCGUAGCGAAAGCGAGUCUGAAUAGGGCGUUUAGUAUUUGGUCGUAGACCCGAAACCAGGUGAUCUACCCUUGGUCAGGUUGAAGUUCAGGUAACACUGAAUGGAGGACCGAACCGACUUACGUUGAAAAGUGAGCGGAUGAACUGAGGGUAGCGGAGAAAUUCCAAUCGAACUUGGAGAUAGCUGGUUCUCUCCGAAAUAGCUUUAGGGCUAGCCUCAAGUGAUGAUUAUUGGAGGUAGAGCACUGUUUGGACGAGGGGCCCUUCUCGGGUUACCGAAUUCAGACAAACUCCGAAUGCCAAUUAAUUUAACUUGGGAGUCAGAACAUGGGUGAUAAGGUCCGUGUUCGAAAGGGAAACAGCCCAGACCACCAGCUAAGGUCCCAAAAUAUAUGUUAAGUGGAAAAGGAUGUGGCGUUGCCCAGACAACUAGGAUGUUGGCUUAGAAGCAGCCAUCAUUUAAAGAGUGCGUAAUAGCUCACUAGUCGAGUGACACUGCGCCGAAAAUGUACCGGGGCUAAACAUAUUACCGAAGCUGUGGAUUGUCCGUAGGACAAUGGUAGGAGAGCGUUCUAAGGGCGUCGAAGCAUGAUCGCAAGGACAUGUGGAGCGCUUAGAAGUGAGAAUGCCGGUGUGAGUAGCGAAAGACGGGUGAGAAUCCCGUCCACCGAUUGACUAAGGUUUCCAGAGGAAGGCUCGUCCGCUCUGGGUUAGUCGGGUCCUAAGCUGAGGCCGACAGGCGUAGGCGAUGGAUAACAGGUUGAUAUUCCUGUACCACCUAGUAUCGUUUUAAUCGAUGGGGGGACGCAGUAGGAUAGGCGAAGCGUGCUAUUGGAUUGCACGUCCAAGCAGUAAGACUGAGUGUUAGGCAAAUCCGGCACUCAUAAGGUCAAGCUGUGAUGGGGAGAGGAAAUUGUUUCCUCGAGUCGUUGAUUUCACACUGCCAAGAAAAGCCUCUAGAUAGAUAACAGGUGCCCGUACCGCAAACCGACACAGGUAGUCAAGAUGAGAAUUCUAAGGUGAGCGAGCGAACUCUCGUUAAGGAACUCGGCAAAAUGACCCCGUAACUUCGGGAGAAGGGGUGCUCUUUAGGGUUAACGCCCAGAAGAGCCGCAGUGAAUAGGCCCAAGCGACUGUUUAUCAAAAACACAGGUCUCUGCUAAACCGUAAGGUGAUGUAUAGGGGCUGACGCCUGCCCGGUGCUGGAAGGUUAAGAGGAGUAGUUAGCUUCUGCGAAGCUACGAAUCGAAGCCCCAGUAAACGGCGGCCGUAACUAUAACGGUCCUAAGGUAGCGAAAUUCCUUGUCGGGUAAGUUCCGACCCGCACGAAAGGCGUAACGAUUUGGGCACUGUCUCAACGAGAGACUCGGUGAAAUCAUAGUACCUGUGAAGAUGCAGGUUACCCGCGACAGGACGGAAAGACCCCGUGGAGCUUUACUGUAGCCUGAUAUUGAAAUUCGGCACAGCUUGUACAGGAUAGGUAGGAGCCUUUGAAACGUGAGCGCUAGCUUACGUGGAGGCAUUGGUGGGAUACUACCCUAGCUGUGUUGGCUUUCUAACCCGCACCACUUAUCGUGGUGGGAGACAGUGUCAGGUGGGCAGUUUGACUGGGGCGGUCGCCUCCUAAAAGGUAACGGAGGCGCUCAAAGGUUCCCUCAGAAUGGUUGGAAAUCAUUCAUAGAGUGUAAAGGCAUAAGGGAGCUUGACUGCGAGACUUACAAGUCGAGCAGGGUCGAAAGACGGACUUAGUGAUCCGGUGGUUCCGCAUGGAAGGGCCAUCGCUCAACGGAUAAAAGCUACCCCGGGGAUAACAGGCUUAUCUCCCCCAAGAGUUCACAUCGACGGGGAGGUUUGGCACCUCGAUGUCGGCUCAUCGCAUCCUGGGGCUGUAGUCGGUCCCAAGGGUUGGGCUGUUCGCCCAUUAAAGCGGUACGCGAGCUGGGUUCAGAACGUCGUGAGACAGUUCGGUCCCUAUCCGUCGUGGGCGUAGGAAAUUUGAGAGGAGCUGUCCUUAGUACGAGAGGACCGGGAUGGACAUACCUCUGGUGUACCAGUUGUCGUGCCAACGGCAUAGCUGGGUAGCUAUGUAUGGACGGGAUAAGUGCUGAAAGCAUCUAAGCAUGAAGCCCCCCUCAAGAUGAGAUUUCCCAACUUCGGUUAUAAGAUCCCUCAAAGAUGAUGAGGUUAAUAGGUUCGAGGUGGAAGCGUGGUGACACGUGGAGCUGACGAAUACUAAUCGAUCGAAGACUUAAUCAA
rnacentral:rRNA from 2 species